rnacentral:rRNA from 1 species
GACGAACGCUGGCGGCGUGCUUAACACAUGCAAGUCGAACGGAAAGGCCCUGCUUUUGUGGGGUGCUCGAGUGGCGAACGGGUGAGUAACACGUGAGUAACCUGCCCUUGACUUUGGGAUAACUUCAGGAAACUGGGGCUAAUACCGGAUAGGAGCUCCUGCUGCAUGGUGGGGGUUGGAAAGUUUCGGCGGUUGGGGAUGGACUCGCGGCUUAUCAGCUUGUUGGUGGGGUAGUGGCUUACCAAGGCUUUGACGGGUAGCCGGCCUGAGAGGGUGACCGGCCACAUGGGGACUGAGAUACGGCCCAGACUCCUACGGGAGGCAGCAGUGGGGAAUAUUGCACAAGGGGCGGAAGCCGGAUGCAGAAACGCCGCGUGCGGGAUGACGGCCUUCGGGUUGUAAACCGCUUUCGCCUGGGACGAAGCGUGAGUGACGGUAAUGGGUAAAGAAGCACCGGCUAACUACG